UACGAAGGGGGCUAGCGUUGCUCGGAAUGACUGGGCGUAAAGGGCGCGUAGGCGGCUUGCACCGUCAGAUGUGAAAUCCCCGGGCUUAACCUGGGAACUGCGCUUGUAACUGGCAAGCUUGAGUGUGGCAGAGGGGGGUGGAAUUCCACGUGUAGCAGUGAAAUGCGUAGAGAUGUGGAGGAACACCGAUGGCGAAGGCAGCCCCCUGGGCUAACACUGACGCUCAUGCACGAAAGCGUGGGGAGCAAACAGG
rnacentral:rRNA from 1 species